UACGUAGGGACCAAGCGUUGUCCGGAAUUAUUGGGCGUAAAGAGCUCGUAGGCGGCUGUCCACGUCGGAUGUGAAAGCUCGGGGCUCAACCCUGAGAGGCCAUUCGAUACGGGACGGCUAGAGGUAGGUAGGGGAGAUUGGAAUUCCUGGUGUAGCGGUGAAAUGCGCAGAUAUCAGGAGGAACACCGGUGGCGAAGGCGGAUCUCUGGGCCUUACCUGACGCUGAGGAGCGAAAGCUGGGGGAGCAAACAGG
rnacentral:rRNA from 1 species